ensembl:lncRNA
GCGGAGACCGUGUGGAAACUCUGGUCACGCCGACUACCCCUCACAGAUGACAAUGAGAAAUUCUGGACGCAAAUAUAUAUGUUUCGAAAAACAAUGUGAAGGCCCUGGAGCACGAGUAAAAGCAGGCAGAAGCUGGAAAGGAGCCGACCCCUGAAAACAGAAACUGCAGCCAGUGAGACGCAUGUUGGUGGCAACGGACUGACAGACGCUCACAAAGGAAGCUGCGGGCUUGGCUACUCAGCACAUGGAAAAGUGUGCAGCAUCAUUAGUCACCAGGGGAAUGCAAAUUAAAACCACAGGGAGACCCCACUGCACACCCAUUCUGAAAUUCAAAGACUGACCACACGGACCAUCAGUGGGGUGUGGAGAGGGGGAACUCGUAUGCCGCCGGUGGGAAUUCAGAAAUGGCACAACCAUUGCAAAACGGAUCGCCAGUUUCUUAGGAAGGUAAAUAUACACCUGACAUUUGACCCAACAAUUCCACUCCUACGUAUUAUCCAAGAGAAACGGAAUGUGUCCACAAAGGGACCUACCUCAAAUGUUGGUAGUAGCUUUAUCCGUGUUACCAAGAAACUGGAAACAACCGGCACGUCCAUCAAGUGGAGAAUGGACACACUAAGUGCAGAAUACGACACAUGGGCUACUGGGCCACGGAAAGGGAAGGAGCGGUGAAACAGCCACGUGGAUAAACAUUGAGAUGCUCCCUCCAGACUAUGUUCCCUGCCUGUUCUGUGCCCCAUCACCGGCCCUGUUGGUCCCUGCCUUCAGAUGCCCUCUCCUGCUGGCGCCUCCUAAACUGAUGCUGCUGGCCACGAGCUCCCCUUUGAGUCGAGGCACACAGGCGGCACCUCCGCACAUCUCCUGAGAACCUUCCGGGAGCACAAAGGAAAUCCGGACUUCCCCCACGAACCGGUUCCUGACCAGCUGUUCCCACUGGCUAGGUAGGACCACCAGGGAGCCUGCCGUUCAAGCUGAGAGCCCCGAGGGCCCCCUUGGUUCUUUCCUCUACCUUCCUCCCACGUUCCACAGCAAGUCCCGCAGGUUCUGCCUGCACCAGCUACCUUGGAUCGCUCCACCUCCACCGCCCGAGUCCAAGUCACGACUGUGUCGCACGCACAACGACCGGAGUGGCCUCCUAAGGGCAUUAAUUAGCUCACACCACUUACCGGCUUACAAUCCCCACCGGUCCCUCCCCUCUCUUGGAAGGACAUCCCAUCUCCUCCUUGCCCGGCCCGUGCCGCCCGCUGACCUCAUCCCCCGAGCGCCCCGGCCCGGCCUUUCCGCUCUGAGUCCCCGUCCCGGGCCGUGCUGGCGCUUCCUGCCCGGCUUGGUCAUCCCUGCAGGCGAGGGCUCCCCUCCAGCUCGAGCCGGGGCGGCCGGGGAGCUGGGCUACGGGGUCCGAAGCCCGGCCCGCCGUCUCACGCCCCAUCCUCGCUCUCACGACCUGCCCUUUUCUCUGACGCCCCCGCGGAGGAUCUAGAGCCGCGACCCCCGCCCCGGCCCGCCGCGCGCCCGGAAGUCGCGGUCCCCGGCCGCGCAUGCUCGCUCCCUCCUCCCCCCGCGCUCUCGCGUCACGUGGGAGGGCGCGCGAGCGGCCCGGGAAGUCCCGUCCGGAAACGCGAGCCGUGGGGCCGCGGGCUCCGCCCCCCGGCGCUGGGGGUUGGAUCACGUGUCGCCUCU